GUACACGCUGUGACUAGCAUAUCAAUAAGCGGAGGAAAAGAAACUAACAAGGAUUCCCCUAGUAACGGCGAGUGAAGCGGGAAGAGCUCAAAUUUGAAAUCUUAAAGGGUUUCCCUUUACGAAUUGUAGUUUAAAGAAGUGUUUUCUGUUGAGGUUUUGGUAAAAGUUCUUUGGAAUAGGACAUCAUAGAGGGUGAGAAUCCCGUAUUUGAUCCUUUACUUUCAACUUUGUGAUACACUUUCAAAGAGUCGGAUUGUUUGGGAAUGCAGUCCAAAAUGGGUGGUAAAUUUCAUCUAAAGCUAAAUAUUGGCGAGAGACCGAUAGCGAACAAGUACCGUGAGGGAAAGAUGAAAAGAACUUUGAAAAGAGAGUUAAACAGUACGUGAAAUUGUCAAAAGGGAAGCGUUUGACACCAGUGUUGUUUUUCUGAAAAUCAAUUAAAGAACUGUUUAUGCUAAGUUGUUUAGACUUUAUCAGCUAACUGUUUAGUUUUGAGCUUUUCUUUAAUGCACUUUUCAGUUAACAAGUCAACAAUCAAUUUCUUUUGCUGUAAAAAAGCUUGAGGAAGGUGGCUUGAGAUUCGUCUUAAGUGUUUAUAGCCUCUUGCCUAUGCAGUCGGAGAGAUUGAGGUCUGCAGCGUAGAUCCUUCGGGGCUAAAUGCAUUUGUGCUAAGUUAUAACAUUUUAUAGACAACUUGUUGACUAUGAUUUGUCUUGUAGCUUACUCGCUUAUGUUAUUUUACCUACGCUUAGGAUGUUGACAGCAGUAUAGACUGU
rnacentral:rRNA from 1 species